rnacentral:rRNA from 1 species
AGUGAACGCUGGCGGUAGGCCUAACACAUGCAAGUCGAACGGCAGCACAGUAAGAGCUUGCUCUUACGGGUGGCGAGUGGCGGACGGGUGAGGAAUACAUCGGAAUCUACUUUUUCGUGGGGGAUAACGUAGGGAAACUUACGCUAAUACCGCAUACGACCUACGGGUGAAAGCAGGGGAUCUUCGGACCUUGCGCGAUUGAAUGAGCCGAUGUCGGACUAGCUAGUUGGCGGGGUAAAGGCCCACCAAGGCGACGAUGCGUAGCUGGACUGAGAGGAUGAUCGGCCACACUGGAACUGAGACAAGGUCCAGACGCCUACGGGAGGCAGCAGUAGGGAAUAUUAGGCAAUGGGCGAAAGCUUGACGGAGCAAUACCGCGUGAGUGAUGAAGGCCUUCGGAUCGUAAAGCCCUGUUAUUAGGGAAGAAAAGAUGUGGACGUAAAUCUGCCCGUCGUGACGGUACCUAAUAAGAAAGCAACGGCUAACUACGUG